rnacentral:misc_RNA from 1 species
CCAAUAGCGUAUAUUAAAGUUGUUGCAGUUAAAAAGCUCGUAGUUGAAUUUCGGGAUCAGUACGCUGGUCGUGCCUUCGGUAUGUACUGGUGUUACUGGUUCCUACCUUCUGACGAACCGUCAUGUCAUUAAUUUGGUGUGGCGGGAAAUCAGGACUGUUACUUUGAAAAAAUUAGAGUGUUUAAAGCAGGCUCGCGCUUGAAUACAUUAGCAUGAAAUAAUGAAAUAGGACGUUCGAUCCUAUUUUGUUGGUUUCUAGGAUUGACGUAAUGAUUAAUAGGGAUAGUUGGGGGCAUUAGUAUUCAAUUGUCAGAGGUGAAAUUCUUGGAUUUAUUGAAGACUAACUACUGCGAAAGCAUUUGCCAAGGAUGUUUUCAUUAAUCAAGAACGAAAGUUAGGGGAUCGAAGACGAUCAGAUACCGUCGUAGUCUUAACCAUAAACUAUGCCGACUAGGGAUCGGAUGAUGUUAUUUUUAAUGACUCAUUCGGCGCCUUACG